AAUAUGGGACUAGGGGCGAACGUCUACUCCAGCCAGGCCGUGUGUGUGAAGAAGGACUUCGAUUUGUAACGCAUUUAGCGUUGGGAGGAAGGCAUGUAUUUUAAUACAUUGCCAUUUUGAUGUUACCGACAGAAUAAGCAACGGCACACUUCGUGCUCACCGCCGCGGUAAUACGAAGGGUGCAAGCGUUAAUCGGAAUUACUGGGCGUAAAGCGCGCGUAGGUGGUUCGAUAAGUCAGAUGUGAAAGCCCCGGGCUUAACCUGGGAACUGCAUCCAAAACUGGCAGGCUAGAGUACGUUAGAGGAAGGUAGAAUUUCCUGUGUAGCGGUGAAAUGCGUAGAUAUAGGAAGGAAUACCGGUGGCGAAGGCGGCCUCCUGGAAUGAUACUGACACUGAGGUGCGAAAGCGUGGGGAGCAAACAGG
rnacentral:rRNA from 1 species